rfam:Desulfurococcus kamchatkensis 1221n, complete genome.
GGGCCCGUAGCUCAGCUUGGUAGAGCGGCGGGCUUUUAACCCGUAGGUCCCGGGUUCAAAUCCCGGCGGGCCCG